rnacentral:tRNA from 1 species
GUUCAAGUAGUGUAAAAUAAAACGUUGGUCUUGUAAAUCAAAAAUGAGAAAAGUUCUCCUAGAACU